rnacentral:misc_RNA from 1 species
GAUGAAGAACGUAGCGAAAUGCGAUACUUGGUGUGAAUUGCAGAAUCCCGUGAACCAUCGAGUCUUUGAACGCAAGUUGCGCCCGAAGCCAUUAGGCCGAGGGCACGCCUGCCUGGGUGUCACACACCGUUACCCUCGCGCCAACGUCCAUCGUUGGCCGCGGCGCGGGGCGUGCGCUGACCUCCCGCGAGCGGGGUCUCGUGGUUGGUUGAAAAUCGAGUUCGCGGUCGAGGGUGCCGUGAUGAAAUGGUGGAUGGGCGACGCCCGAGGCCAAUCACGCGCGACUCCGUCCGGCUCGGACUCCUGGACCCCUUCGGCGUCUCCGGACGCUCUUUGGCGAGACCUCAGGUCAGGCGGGGCUACCCGCUGAGUUUAAGCAUAUCAUAAGCGGAGGA